CGCUCUUCUGCCUCUCCCGCGGCCAUCGGCGACUGCAGGCAGGGGAAGCGACAGGCAAGUUUCUCGCCUCUGCGGAGAAACUUGCACCUGCGUGCCGCCGCAGGGCCGGGUUCGGAUGUGCCCUGGCAUUGCACACGCACCACAACCCCCGCGGGGAGGGUCUGCGCUGCCUCGGGGACCCUGUCUGCGCUGCCGGGAGAGAGAAAUCCUUUGGGAAGCUGGGGUGGAAACAGUAACUCUGUGAACUGCUCAGCUUUUCCUAGGUGACGAAGCUUAUGGAAAAAAAGACCAAAGGCCUCGAGGUGAGUACAUUCUACCGAGUUCUGCUUUUCUGGGAUCGGUUUGGGAAAAUCACGUGAAAUUCUAAAAAGCUUCUCUCCGUGUUUUCUAGUUGUUUUUUCAGCCUUGGUCUAAGUUUCCUGUAGAAAAGGGCAUAGAAUUAUUAGAACAGACAAACUAGGCUUUCUCGGGAGAGAUGGAAGAAAAGUCUGCUGAUUGCAGUUCUGCUUUUCUUGUCUUCCCUUCGACUGUCAUUUUCUCUCCCCUGCUGUUCAAAUAGGCAGCAAUUAAUUGCUCUGCUGAAGAGUUUGCUGUACUAAGUGUCUGUCAAAUGGAUGCCUUCAACUCAAGAUAGCACCUGCUCCUUAGUUACAAAAAGUUCCUCACAGGAAAUUUUCAGGCGUGCCCAUAAAUCUCCUCGCUGUUUGUUUGGGAGAACAGGGUUUUCUCGUCUGUAACAGAAUAGUCAUGGCAUUUGCUAUGGAAUGCUGGUGGCAAUCUAGUCAGAAGAGGACCCCGUGCUUCACUAAUUUUCCCUUUUUGUUGUUGGGGGUGACUUCUUCCCAGGGAUGUUAUUCUUGACCCCCCGGGGCAAACGGAGGUGUUCACCUGGUCAGCGUCAGGAGCCAUCCUACCUGAGGCCCUGGCUCCCUCUUUCCCUUCGGUUGCCGUGGAUGUGCCGGACACCUCUGGCAGGACUAACCCUGUGGCUUUUAUGUCCAACGUGCUGUGUGCCUGCAGGUAAGAAAAGCUGGGAGUGCAGUCCCUCUGCUUUGCUUGCUGUGUCUCUUGGGUAGUGAUUUUGGAGGGGAAUCCCAGAGCGAUUUGGUUUGAAGGGGACCUUCAAAGGCCACCCUGUCUUCCGUGGGCAGGGACACCUUCCACUCUCAUCCCCGGUU